GUGUCAGCCGCCGCGGUAAUACGGGGGGGGCAAGCGUUGUUCGGAAUUACUGGGCGUAAAGGGCUCGUAGGUGGCCAACCCAGUCAGACGUGAAAUCCCUCGGCUCAACCGGGGAACUGCGUCUGAUACUAGUUGGCUGGAAUCCGGGAGAGGGAUGCGGAAUUCCAGGUGUAGCGGUGAAAUGCGUAGAUAUCUGGAGGAACACCGGUGGCGAAGGCGGCAUCCUGGACCGGCAUUGACGCUGAGGAGCGAAAGCCAGGGGAGCAAACGGGAUUAGAUACCCGUGUAGUCC
rnacentral:rRNA from 1 species